UUCAUUCGCUCUUCUUAUACAUAUAUAUAUAUUUAUUUUUCUUCUCUUAUUUACAAAAACAUUAUCUUCAUCGGAAAAAUACUUUUAGAACAUUAUUAAGGAAGAUUUAUGUAAAUUUUAAUUUCAUUACGAUAGAUUGAGAAUUGGAAAUUUAUGUAAUUAUUCACAAAGAUAAAUAGAAGUCAUCGAUAUUAUAGAAUUUGUGGGGAAUGCCACCUUAAGAAAAUAUAAAAUUUUCAUACGAACUCCGUUAUUCAGAGAGGUGUUCAAUAAGAUAUCUAAAGAAGAUAAUCGUUUAAUUUUGUUCUAUUUAUUCAUUCAAAAUACCACGCUUGAAACGGAAGCUAUAUACAAACAGAAAUGGACAAAAAGUUCAACAAAAAUUUCAACUGAUUUCAAUUUCCAUUUUAAGAAAUAAAAGGUGAAUAAUCAUUCUCAGUUAGUAAGUUCAGUUCAUUACUUACAGAAGAAGUGCCGCUGCUAUUGUUCCGAGAUGCAUGUUUGCCGUUCGUUGUAAUGUUACAGAGGUACGGUAUCUUGCAUAAAGGACUUGGCUUGGUUUCCGAAGAAUUUCAAUGUUAUUUGUGAAAGGUCAAGGUGACAACAACGAAGAUUCCUAAAUUUCUUGUGUUUAAGACUUUGUUUACAUUUUUAUUUUAUUAAACAUACGAGAAUGGC